UACGGAGGGAUCCAAGCGUUAUCCGGAUUUAUUGGGUUUAAAGGGUGCGUAGGCGGCCUGUUAAGUCAGGGGUGAAAGACGGUAGCUCAACUAUCGCAGUGCCUUGAUACUGACGGGCUUGAAUUGACUAGAGGUAGGCGGAAUGUGACAAGUAGCGGUGAAAUGCAUAGAUAUGUCACAGAACACCGAUUGCGAACGGCAGCUUACUAUGGUCAUAUUGACGCUGAGGCACGAAAGCGUGGGGAUCAAACAGG
rnacentral:rRNA from 1 species